AAGGAUCAUUAAUGAAUUCUGAGUAGGCUCUGCCUCUCACCCUUCAUAUCCAUAAACACCUGUGCACAGUCGGACCCUUGAGUCUUUCGGGACUCCCGGUGUCUUGACGAUCUUAUCAAACAACAAUGUAACCAAUGUAAUCAUUAUUAUAACAUAAUAAAACUUUUAACAACGGAUCUCUUGGCUCUC
rnacentral:misc_RNA from 1 species